UAAAACUUCUAACUUGUUAAACCCUAAUUCGCGCCUCCCCCACUCACCAUUUACGUUAUCCUCUCUGACCCACCCUGCGCCACCCCGCCGCUCGUCGUCGCGCCUCCCUGCGCCACCUCGCCGUCGCCGUCGCGCCGCCUUGCGCCCCGCCGCUGUCGCCGUCGCACCGCCCUGUGCGCUUGGAGCAGUCCGACCACCUUAACAACUAAAG
rnacentral:lncRNA from 1 species